rnacentral:rRNA from 1 species
UGCAGUGUGGAAUAUUGGGCAGGGGACCCUAAUCGAAACCAGCCGCGUGGCGGGAAAAACGAUUAGCCGUGUGGUUUAAAUUUCUUUGAAAAGGAAUAAAUGUAGGUAAGUCAUUAGAAUGCAGUACGUAUAAAAGAUAGUUCCC